rnacentral:rRNA from 1 species
CCUUUGACGUUAGCGGCGGACGGGUGAGUAACACGUGGGUAACCUACCUAUAAGACUGGGAUAACUUCGGGAAACCGGAGCUAAUACCGGAUAAUAUUUAGAACCGCAUGGUUCGAUAGUGAAAGGUGGUUUUGCUAUCACUUAUAGAUGGACCCGCGCCGUAUUAGCUAGUUGGUAAGGUAACGGCUUACCAAGGCGACGAUACGUAGCCGACCUGAGAGGGUGAUCGGCCACACUGGAACUGAGACACGGUCCAGACUCCUACGGGAGGCAGCAGCC